AUGAGGCACUUUUGUGCAAACUUCUAUAGGGCAUGUGGUAUCAAGGAGUUGGCCGAUGAUCUUCAAGAUUGUUGUCUUGCUUUCACCAACAAGCGGUUUGCCACAUUGUUCAAUGCAUUGCUCAGACACAAGAAACUUGACCCCGGUGGUCAUGAAUUUCUCAGUAAGAACAUUGUCGGAAGGAAUAUGUGGGCGCGUGCUUUUGAUGAAGAUGGCCGGAGGUACGGUCAAAUGACAAGCAAUAUGGCAGAAUGCUUCAAUAAGGUGCUCAAGGGUGUACGUGCAUUACCCGUGACAGCAAUAGUUCAAUACACAUUUGACAAGAUGAAUGGAUACUUUUUGAAGUAUUCAAUGGAGACGGAUAAGCAGAUUGCUGGUGAGAACAAGGAUAAGCACAAGUACUAUUUCCCACCAAAGGUUGAAGAAUGGUUGGACUUUCAAUCACGAAAGGCAGACUCCCAAGAAGCUGUACUAUAUGAUGACAACGAGUGGAAGUAUGAGGUGAAAGAGCCUGGAGGAACCACAAACGAUGGCCACCAACACGGAGGCCGCGCUUUCAAGGUCUCCCUAACACGGUGUGAUUGCAGCUGCAUGAGGCCAUCGUUGCUUCAUCUCCCAUGCUCGCACUUGUUAAAUGCAGCCCGUGUUAGGAAUGUGGACGUCAAUCACCCUCUUACCGUGAGGGAGUCCGAGUUCUCAAUCAUGACGGUCUUGGCCGUGGUGGUGGCAGAGGCCGUGGUGGUGGUCUAG
rnacentral:rRNA from 1 species